ACGCCUGUAGCUCAAUUGGUAGAGCGACGGUCUCCAAAAUCGUAGGCUGGGGGUUCGAUUCCCUCCGGGCGUGCCA
rnacentral:tRNA from 1 species